rnacentral:ribozyme from 1 species
CUGCUCGAAUCUUUGCACACCUCUUCGUGGUGAGCAGCAGGCAACGAUUUAUUAUGAUCGGCUAAGAUGUU